GGAGUUGGACCGAAAUAACGACUUUUAAAAAGUGAGGGAUCACCCGAGCGAGUAGCUAAGAGAAAAACAGGUAGGAGGUCAAUUGCAGGAAGUAGAAGUUUUCUUUUCAUAAAUACCGAAAUCUUUCCCAAAUCAACGAAGAAAAUAAAAAGAAAACCUGUGAGAGAGAGAGAGAGAGAGAGAGAGAGAGAGAGAGAGAGAGAGUGGGAGAUCCCGAACUUAAAGAAUGGAGAAGAUGAACCAGGCCUAUGAGAAGGUGAAGAUGCUGGUGGGUAUGGAGGUGGAUGAGGACGACCAUGAAGCUGCUUCUUCUUCUGCUCUACAGGAUACCAACUUCAUCGACGACUUCAAUCGCAACUGCACAUUGUCCACCAAACAGAGGUUUUACGGUUUCGCCAUAUGCUUGACUGCCGGUUUAACUUGUACGCUCCUGUCGAUGCUUGUUUUCUUCCAUCCAAUCAAGUUUGGAAUUACAUUCACACUGGGAAAUCUUCUUUCACUUGGGAGCACAGCAUUCCUCAUUGGCCCUAAACGGCAAGUGACAAUGAUGCUUGACCCUGUCCGUAUUUAUGCAACAGCCAUAUACCUUGCAAGUAUAAUAAUUGCCUUGUUUUGUGCUCUUUACGUUCAUAACAAGUUAUUGACACUUUUGGCGAUACUUUUAGAGUUUGGUGCAUUGAUUUGCCCUUAAACUAAAAUAUGUGGGAAUGUCAGGCUUUCCAUAAAAUCCAUCCAAUUUUCUGUUAAAUUGGACAUGCGAUGCACACAUGACCUUUUUACAGGUUUGGAAUGGCAAACUGGGAUAGAGAGACAAGAGAGAGGAGAGAGAAUGAAAGGGGAAGAAAGGAACGGAAAUGUCCCCAAAAAAAGACAUGUCAAAGGUUAAGAGAAUGUGGCAGAAUUAACGACAAGCUUGCCAUUGCAAAAGAAUCAGAGUUAGGGCGUAUUUAAAACAUAGUUUUUGUUCUUCCAAUGGGCAAAGUGCCAAACGAGACAAACUUCAUGGGGUAUAGGUAUAGCUUGAGCUACAUCCCUUUUGCUAGAGCCAUGUUAUCCAAGAUCAUGGUAGCUUGUUUUGACACUGAUUUUUAGGCUGAUAUUCGCCAAGGAAACAACUUGGGACUCAUCCAUCGGAGUAGAUAUUUCCUAAUAUUAGUUUUUGUUGUGGCCUUGCACACAGAGAGAGUCCAACCUAAAGCACCACACGAUAUCG